rnacentral:rRNA from 1 species
AACGAACGCUGGCGGCAGGCUUAACACAUGCAAGUCGAACGCACCGCAAGGUGAGUGGCAGACGGGUGAGUAACGCGUGGGAACGUGCCCUUCAGUUCGGGAUAACCCAGGGAAACUUGGGCUAAUACCGGAUACGUGCGAGAGCAGAAAGAUUUAUCGCUGAAGGAUCGGCCCGCGUCUGAUUAGCUAGUUGGUGAGGUAAUGGCUCACCAAGGCGACGAUCAGUAGCUGGUCUGAGAGGAUGAUCAGCCACAUUGGGACUGAGACACGGCCCAAACUCCUACGGGAGGCAGCAGUGGGGAAUAUUGGACAAUGGGCGCAAGCCUGAUCCAGCCAUGCCGCGUGAGUGAUGAAGGCCUUAGGGUUGUAAAGCUCUUUCAGCUGGGAAGAUAAUGACGGUACCAGCAGAAGAAGCCCCGGCUAACUCCGUGCCAGCCGCCGCGGUAACAC